GCCGAGGUGGCGAAACUGGCAGACGCACUGGCUUCAGGUGCCAGCGCCCGCAAGGGCAUGGAGGUUCAAAUCCUCUCCUCGGCA
rnacentral:tRNA from 1 species